rnacentral:rRNA from 1 species
AUUGAACGCUGGCGGCAUGCUUUACACAUGCAAGUCGAACGGUAACAGGCCUUCGGGUGCUGACGAGUGGCGAACGGGUGAGUAAUGCAUCGGAACGUGCCCAGAGGUGGGGGAUAACGCAGCGAAAGCUGUGCUAAUACCGCAUGUGAUCUGAGGAUGAAAGCGGGGGACCAGGCAGCAAUGUUUGGCCUCGCGCCUUUGGAGCGGCCGAUGUCAGAUUAGGUAGUUGGUGGGGUAAAGGCCUACCAAGCCGACGAUCUGUAGCUGGUCUGAGAGGACGGCAGGCCACACUGGGACUGAGACACGGCCCAGGCUCCUACGGGAGGGAGCAGUGGGGAAUUUUGGACAAUGGGCGCAAGCCUGGUCCAGCAAUGCCGCGUGCGGGAAGAAGGCGUUCGGGUUGUAAACCGCUUUUGUACGGAACGAAAAGGCUCUGGCUAAUACCUGGGGCUGAUGACGGUACCGGAAGAAUAAGCACCGGCUAACUACGUG